GCGUUCGUAGCUCAGCGGAUUAGAGCAUCUGACUUCGGAUCAGAGGGUCGUGGGUUCAAAUCCUACCGGACGCG